GUUAUCCGGACUUACUGGGCGUAAAGGGCGUGUAGGUGGUUUCGUAAGUCUGGCGUGAAAUAUCUCGGCUUAACCGAGGCAGGUCGUCGGAUACUGCGGAACUAGAGGACGGUAGAGGCGUGUGGAAUUCCGGGUGUAGUGGUGAAAUGCGUAGAGAUCCGGAGGAACACCAGUGGCGAAGGCGACACGCUGGGCCGUACCUGACACUGAUGCGCGACAGCAUGGGGAGCAAACAGG
rnacentral:rRNA from 1 species